UGUGCUUAACACUUCAUCUUGUUUUUCUGAAAGUUUAGGUUCAUGCAUCAUAUGCUUCUGGUGCAGAACUUGAAUCCGAUGAUCUAAAAUAAAAUAGGUGAAUGACUACUUGUGAAAAGACAAAAGAGAGAAAAUAUUUACAGUAUUUUAAACUGUUUUGAAAGUGUCAAAUACUACAGUAAAUUGUAAAUGAGAAUUACUGAUCAUAAAAUAUUGCUUCUAAUUUUUAGCAAUGAAAUGUAUCUCUAAUCCAGAAGGAGAGAAGAAAAAUAAGCAACCCCAAAACUUUUAUAUAAAAGGAUUUAAUAAGAGAAACAAUGUACAUGAGAGGAAGGUGUGGAUUAUCAAGGAUUUUAAAGAAACUGAGAACAUGAAGCUAACAUCUGGUAUGACGCACACUUUCAAUCUGAAGAUGAUAG